ensembl:snoRNA
UGGCACAAAAACAUUGUCCUUCUCUCUCUCGUCUUGAGAGUUGUGAUAUUUCUGUUGUGCAAGAGCAAAACCCGGAGGUAAAUUAGCAGAGCGGCUCGCCGGUGUCGCUUUUGCCAGUCCCCUUCGCACAAGA